rnacentral:lncRNA from 1 species
GUGCGUUUGUUCAGCCACAGGUCACAGGACACAGAGGGAGGCCCAGGUCGAAGGGCCCGGGCUCGGCCCUGGUCUGAGGAACAGCUGUGGGAAUGGGCCUGGUGCUGGAGGAGCCCGGGCAGGGACCCGCGUCCUGACGGCCAGCUCAGAGCUCCUGUCUGGAGGCCCCGCUCCCUGCCAGAGCCAGACGUGGAACAUCGGCUCGAGGAAGGGGCUGGACGGCCUGCAGAGGGUCUGCCUGCCCUCUCUCUGGCUGCCCCCAUCCCCAGCAGAGGCCUCCUUGGGGAGUGGCACUGGUCCCCCGAGGCCCGGCCACCAUCUUCUGCUCCCCCAGAUCCUAUUCACGGUCCCUUCCUCCAGGCUGACUUGGCUCCUUAUCUCAGAUAAAGAGUCUGAAGGCCUGCGUCCACUUCCCAGGACAUUUGUAACAAAUUACCUCCACUUGGUGGCUUAAAGCAACGUACAUUCAUCAUUUCAGUUUUGGAGGUCAGAAGGCUGACGGGUCUCCCUGGGCUAAAAUCAAGGUGUCGGCAGGCUGGCUCCUUCUGGAGGCUCCGAGGGGACAAUCCUUUCACUGCCCUUUCCAGCUUCUAGCAGACCCCGAGUUCCUCAGCCGGCCCUUCCUCCGUCUUCAAAGGCAGUGAUGUGGGGUCGAGUCCUUCUCACAGCACAUCUCUCUGACCAGCUGGGUCGUCACAACUCUUUCCCUGAAUCUUGACUCCCGUGUGCCCUCCACACACGCAUUUAAGGACCUUGUGAGGAUAUGGGACCCACCCAGACAGCCCAGGGUCAUCAUCCCCUCUCACAAGGGAACUUAAUCCCAGCUGCAAAGUCCCUUUUGCCACGUAAACUACAUAGUCACAGGUUCCAAGAUCAGGCCGUGGACACGCCCAUCAAAAGGCCCAGCUCUUUGCCUGGGUGGCUGCAGGAUUCAGAGUUAGAUAUGGAAACAGACCUUCCUAUGAUUGAAGAUUCGGGGUUCUCUGCACCAAGAGUGGGAGAUGGGGAGGCCCGAGGUGCAGAGGAGAUGGCACUGGCUCCGACGGCAGGCUGGAGGGUGGAAUGGGACAGCCGGGCCACCCUAGGGAGACCAGCUCUCCUCACCUGUUGCUGCCUCCCUGGCUCCCUGGCCCUGGCUGGUGGCUGGAGCUCCAGGAUGCCACCGCCACACUGGACUGUCUGCCUUGAAGACCGUUCCUCCUUCCAGAGUCAGCUCGCGCUUUCUCCUCUGUGAAGCCUCCCCGGGUUGCCCCGGCCAAAUCUGGAACCACUUAGCCUCAAAAUAAACAGCAGGGGAUUAGAGCUGAUGGAGUGAGU